GGUUCGGGAUUGUUUUGACCGAGACUCGGCGGCCGUCCAGGACCAGCAAGAGCAGCAGAGCCCUAGCCGCCGCCCCGGCUACCCCUAGGCCCCUUCCUUUCCUCUUUCCUACCACUCAAUGAGCACCCCAUGGCGACCCUCCCACCGCCCCUCCUCCCGAUGAGCACCGCUCCUCCGAGCCGCGGCCGUCUAUGACCAGGAGGAGCAAAGACGGAUCAUCAUCGUCAUUCCUCUACUUACCCGUGGCUCAUCAUCCUAGAUCCGCCCCUGCUGGUCACGGGCGAGCCCCCACGCCGGGGCUACAUGAGCUGAGAAAGAAGCUGCAAUUCAAGCCACCAAGUGCUGAUGAUUUCACGGCCGUCAAACGGCACUGGAUAUUCCUUUACCAGUGCCACACAUUCAGGGAUACACAUCCUUGACAAAGAGAGUCCGGAGAACCUGAUGCUACACACCGCCGUUCCAACCAUUGAUGAUAUUAUGUCUUUGUACCAACGUGUUACCAUGUAUAUUCAAAAGGAAAUAGGCACUGAAUUUAAUCGCAAGAAGUUGACACUUGCACCAUCCGGUGUCACUGGGUGCCACACCUUCAAGGAGACAGAGUCUGUUCUAAAUUAUGCUGAAUCGUUUUUUAGCCUUUUCAGCCUACCUGAGUACUCUUCUUAUUCUUUAGCCUAAUCUGGUUUUAUUGUUGCUAUUUCUAAGCAUUAUUUGUAUUAUGAGCAGAUGGCAAGAUGAUAAACCGGUGCAUAGGGAUUGUCGUUGGGAUAGAUGCAUUUAAGAACUCAACAUGGCAAGAUGAUAAACCGGAGAGGUGAUGCCAUCGAUAACUAUGGAAGCAGAAAGCUUGACAACACCGGCGUGAUCUCGAAUGACAACACCCCAUCCCAUCCGAUUACCAUUAGGAAAUAAAGCUGCAUCCACAUUGACACAAACCCAAACAGGAGGAGGUAGAAUCCGACGUGGAGUAGGAUAGGAAUCACACCUGAUCGCUGUUUUGGUUUUGUAGCAAUGUAAGGCAAUAUUUUUAGCAUACACCUUGAUCUUUCCAGCAAGCCAGAGACGCGUGUAAAAGCCCUUUGUCAUUUCUAGCAUCAUUAUGAGUUUCCCAAAUAUGCCAGCACGUCACUGCCUCUGAAUAUCACUAGCUGUUCAAGAAUUCGAACAUCCAUUGCCUCAUAUUUCUGAAAGACUUUCUACAGAGCUUGACAGAGACAUAUUCUUUCACUGAGUCCCAUACUGAUCAAUCGGAGGCACAGGAAAAAAAUAAGUGUUCCACGCUCUCUGAUCUGCCACAAAACACACAUGUGUCUUUGGUUGGAAUAUGAAGACACUACAGCCGGACCCCGUAGGCAGACAAUCAUGAGUCAUUCUCCAUAAGACAAUUUUCAUUUUACCAGGACAUUGAAUUGACCCUCUUUUGAUUGUGCAACCUCAUCUGAGUUACUCCCUUUCCCAGCCCGUACCCCAGGAUGUGUAGAAGGAUUAAGAUCUUGCGUAGCGCGGACAGUAUGAAGGCCCAACUGAGCAUGUGGCCAAGAAGCGAAGUCUUCCCCGCCAUGGCGGCUGAUCGGUAUCUGUUGGAUAAUCUGCAUUGUCUUCAACGAACAAAGUUCGGACAGUAUCCAUGCCCCAUGCAUUUCCUUGUGAGUUCAUCAAAAAGCUUACUGGAGCAUUCCCUGGUAAAACUUCCAGAGUGGAGAAAGUAACUGGAGGCAGGCCUGGAUCCAGUUGUCGCUCAUGAUCUUGAUCUUCUUACCGUCACCCACUCCCCAACUCAGGAUUGACCACUGCGUAAAGGAUGAAGACCUUAGUUUUCCAGCUGAUAGGAAAUCAGAAUUAGGGAAGUGCCAUCUUUUCAGUACCCGUGCAUAGAGCGAGGUUGGUUCAGUAAGCAUUCUGCAACACUGUUUUACGAGAAUAGCCUGGUUGAACAGGACGAAGUCUUUAAAGCCCAACCCACCGAGAAAUUUUGGCGCCAACAUCGAAUCCCAUGAACGCCAGUGCAUAUUCUUUCUCCCCUCCUCAAAACCCCACCAUUUGUUAGCAAUAAUGGUUUUCAUUUUCUGACAAAUUCCAACCGACACUUGAAAGCAGUAUAGAUUACAUAUGAGCAAAAUUCCCUGCCACCACAACAACAAUGAACUUAUUUCAGUGAGUUGUGGGAUAUGAUCUGAUUGAAAAUCAACACCUUUUGAUGUCUAUAUGCCAAUCAAGUUGUAUUUUCUUAUGACAUGAUGAUGGUUUCUAGUGUGGUGUGCUAAUUGUUAGCUGGGAAAUGCUAUUGUCUUAAGAAGUACUGCUUUAACCUAAUCAAAGUCCGAGUCAAUCUUCCUAUGUUUUAUGAAUUGUGUAAAAAAGACCAUUGAAAAAAAAGAACGGCUUGACCAUUAAUUUCAAACUAAAAAGGAAAAUAUUUCUGACUAUCUCUUUUGUGUAUUAUUGGCAAAUGUUUGACCUGGUCUAUUUAACUCUUGGAGUCUUUUGAACAUUCGUUACUUACUGUCAAUAUUCCGUAGCUGAUGUUGUGGUUGAUGCAAUCGUGACUUUAUAAUAACCAUCCAAAUAGCACAAGACUGCAGGGUCAAAGAGUGGUGAAGAUAACCCCUUAACGUUUCAUAACUGAACUACUACUACUACUGUUGUUUGUCAUGACUGAUUCAUACACUGACAACACUAAAUUUGUAGGCCUUCCAGCUGGUCUAUGUGCCUCGGCCGAUGAUCUUGCAGAGGGUCAGCUUAAGAUCAAUUCUAUUGUCACCACAGUACGAGAACAACACCAACUUAACAGCUGCAUCAACAUGAACAUUCCGUCCGGUGUGCCCAGCGCGUUACUUAUAGAGCAGAAAUGCAUCCAACCUUAAGACGGAUUAUGAUGUGCCAUAUCCUUAUGCACCUACCCUUUUUCUUUACUCACCAACAACGGACAUAUUGAUUUUUUUGUUUGUUCUCACAAAACUGUACAUGCAUCCAUCCAAUUUAGGCUUAGUAUAUUCAUAUUACAAAUUCAAAAUCCUACACAGGAUAGUAUUCAUGUGAGUGUAAUAUCAAACUGUAUGCUUGUUUAAUUGAACCAUAUUGUUGUUGUA